UACAGAGGUCCCGAGCGUUGUUCGGAUUCAUUGGGCGUAAAGGGUGCGUAGGCGGUCUUCUAAGUUUGAUGUGAAAUCCCGGGGCUCAACCCUGGAAUUGCAUUGAAUACUGGAGGACUAGAGUACUGGAGAGGAAACUGGAAUUUACGGUGUAGCAGUGAAAUGCGUAGAUAUCGGGAGGAACACCAGUGGCGAAGGCGACUACCUGGCCUGUUCUUGACGCUGAGGCGCGAAAGCUAGGGGAGCAAACGGG
rnacentral:rRNA from 1 species